AUUUUGUCCGCAGUUUAUUUUUUCAUUCGGGUGGAUUUAUCUCGCUUUGGGAGCGUUCGGCGUGGGUGCAGAAAAUUUCCGCGGUUUUCUUCAAAAAUUCGUCAAUUUGAGACUUUGUGGUUUGAGAGUGCAAAAAUGAUGGAAAAUUCACGCAGAAGAGAUGCGAUCGUUUUUGGAACACAAUCAGUGCCCAGGAUGACCAGCCCGGAAGCCUUACCCGGAUGCCCUAUUCAGGAAGCCCUGCCCGGACCCCUACCCGCAUGGCCUGCCUGAAUGCUCUACCCGGAUGCCCUGCCCGCUUUUGCUUUAAUUUUUGACAACAUUCCAAAAUGCGGAAAUAUCCGUUUGAAGCACAAAACUGUCCGUGCCUGGCUUCAGUCCUCAAUUUCUGGGAUCCGGUCUUACACAACUUUAUGCAACAUAAUUUUCCGGAAAUGGAAGUCCCGGAAGUCACAAAGGUGAAGAGGAGAGAUCAUCUGAAAAGCCGCCCAGCAUCGAAGGAGACAGCAGGAGAAGGAAAAGGCAACGCCGGAUAUAUUUUUUCAAUAUUUUUUUGUAAAUUUUAAAAAUAUUAAAUAAAUCUAUAUAAUAAAGGUCUGUUUGUUGGUAAUCUUCCGUCGUGUUCGGCUAUACAAAUCUACACCGUUUGACCGAUUGCGAUGAAAUUUGGUACAGACGCUCCUUAUAUCAGUCUGUUUCGAGUGGCCGUAUUCAUUUUCCCCCCAAAGCCCCCCUUUAGGUAGCCCCCAUAUAAAAUUCAUGCAUUUUUUGCGAAUUUUUAAAUUUGGCGCCGGAAAUGUUGCUUGAAAAUGAUUUCUUCUCUUUGCAAAUUUUUUUCUUUGGGUUUAAUGAGUGGCCCUAUUUUUUUUUACUUAUAAACCAUCACAAUUUUUUUCUCCAAAAUUUGCGCGAAGCGCAACAAAUCCCCGCGAAGCAAUUUGCAAAAAAAAACGCUUUUUUUAAAUUCAAAACGAAUUUCAACGGUAUAACAGAUUGGUGAAUUUUUUCAGAAAACUGCGGAAAUAUUCUGCAGAAAAAGUGUCCCAGCGCCAUACAAAAUUUCUAAAGAAUUUCUAAAGAACACGUGUUCAGAAUACCUUUAGUGCUUUCGAAUUUUUCUGCAGAAAUUCGGCAGCUAGUUUUUGAUGGGGAGGAGAGGUCAUAACCUCAAAGUUUUACCCCCAAAACCCUAUAUAAGUGCGGGAAGUGACUGCAGAAGUGCCUCGGAUUCCAUGAGCUCCACACUUAGAAGAAGAGGAGCUGCUGGUAGCCAGCCACCUAGAAGGCAGAAGAAAUACCCCGGUUCCACGAGCCCCCAGUCUGAGAGGAGCGUUUGUGGCAGUGUCGAGCCAGGAAGGAUGUCAAUUGACUUAAGUCACACCGGGAUCCAGGGCGUGAGGAGAGAUCUCACAAAAUCCCCAAUCACCAGAAAAUCUGUCGGAGAAUCUAGUGGGCCCGAAUCGAAGGAUGUCUUGGAUGAUGAUCUACCAUAUUGGAGUCAUUUAUCGUCCACUUCCUGCCCAGUGCCUCGCUCCAGGGAGGCUCAUCCCCAUCAGGAGCCACGAGGUCGUACCCGGAUAGACCAAGCUUUGGUCAUCUCCCACACUGGUGAAGAAAUCAAUGCCCACUGCUGCAUCCCAAGGAGAUUCAUCACGAAGUGAUUUACGGCGGAAUAAUAGAUCCGGAAGGUAGCUCCAUUGCUUUUCCGGAGGCUGCCCUAACUCUUACCUGGGAUUAUUCUUCAGAAUUUAUGCCACACUUAUUCUUAAAAAUAAACAGAUCCUGAGGUGACCUAUGCUGUUUUUCUUCCCCUCCCUCUCUCUUCUAGGCUCUCGUGGAAUCUCAUUCUUUGGGGCUACUUUAAAGCCGAAUAUGAUAAGGGUAAAUUUCAUCACAAAAAAAUUUUUUUUUAAAUUUUUUGAUAUAUUGUAGCUGACUAUAUUAUCUAGGCUCCAUGCCAAAAAUGCAGAAAAUCUAUGGAUCCGUUCUCGAGAUAUAGCCUUCCAAAGUUGGCAUGUCAUAUCUCGGGUUCUACAAGUCCGAUGUUGAUCAACUCAAGCGCAAAUGAAAGGUUUCGUGAAACUCUACAAAUGUCUAGAACAUUGCAACUUCGAGAAAUGACCGCAAGAGACGCUAAAAUCGAAAACAAAACUUUCGAAAAUUUCGAACUCGAAUUUUUUGAAAAUGGCGACAUAAUUUUUUUUCGUUUUUCGAUAUGUUAUAGCUGACUUCAAGACAUGACUUUUCAACUUUUCCCGACUUUACGCGUAUUUAAAUUAAUUCGCGUUCUAAGUUUGCUCUCACAAAAUUAAUACACUGAAAGAAACACAGCUCUCGUUAGCUUGGUCAGCUUACCAGUACAUUUCCUAAUUUUCUUUACAUGAUCUUGAAGUAAUAAAACUCCCCUAUACACCAAUGUAGAAUUCAUCACGAAAUAUGAAUAGAUUUUAAUUCUAUGACGAUUGAAAAAAGUCGAAUUGGCUACUUUUGUCAGCAAAAUCCUCCAAGGGUUAAAAAGAUUUACUGAGAUUUUGGUCCAAAUAUAACAGGGGUAUUUUUCCGAACAACUGUGGCCUUGUCCGUUCCUUGGCCUUUGAGCGCAGAAGCACAGGAAUUUGACUUCAAAUCCCAGAUGCUCCUGGCAGGUAGAAGCGAAUCCAGAAUAUUCGGAAUCAAACCCUUUUUCAUAUUCUAAAACAGACUGCUUUUUAAUCUAUGGAAAUGUCUCAUGUGGUCUUUCAAAACAUAAUUCACAAAAAAUUCAAUAUUUUUCCACAUAAAAUAUCCUGAAACAAAUCCAAAUACUCAAAUUCAUGUAGAAUAAUCGUCAAUAUGGUCUAUACGUUGACACUAAAUAAUAUUUCUAUGGAUAAAAAACUCACAAAAAAUUGAAAAGGCACCUCGACAGAUCCUUACAAAUCAUAUGAUUUUGUAAAAAAAAUCAUUUCAACCUUUCAUUUGCGCUUGAGUUGAUAAAGAUCGGACUUGUAGAACCCGAGAUAUGACAUGCCAACUUUGAAAGGCUAUAUCUCGAAAACGAAUCCAUAGAUUUUCUUCAUUUUUGGCAUGGAGCUAGAUAAUAUGGUCAGCUAUAACAUAUAUGGAUCCGCGCCAAAGGCACAUUUCGGCACGAAUCGGGAAUGGUCGCGCGCCACCUAUCAACGGUCAAAAACCUGUCAUAUACUCUCCCAAAAAGCGCGCAAUAGACACGACAUGCACGCCAACGCAGUGAAGCAAAAUUCUCAAUUAUAUUAUUAAUUCUCUUAUAUUCUUUGUUAAUUUAAAUAAAUAUUGAAGUUGUGAAGUGGAAGGAGAUUUUUCAAUGCUGGAAAUCCGGUCGCUUCGACCCGGAAGCCACAACUAACGCCCUAUAUUUCUCCAGGUACGUCCACCUCACCUUCCAAUAUAAAAAAAUGAAAAAAAAAUUAUG